rnacentral:lncRNA from 1 species
UCGAAAACUCGGGUACUGCACCUCCUGAACUCAUUGAGGCGCUCCAUCAGUCUGUCUCGCUCCGUCCCCUCGACCAAGGUAGGGAAUGCAGCUCCCACCGGGGGCCUCUGAACAGGUGGUGCCACCAAAACCUCCUCCUGGGGUGCGGCCACAGGCGUCGCACGCGAAGAACUGGGCGCGGGGGACGGCGCUCUCGGUGCGACGUCCACAACAGGUGCUGGCGGUGUGGGGCCCUGCGUCUCCCUAGAAGCUG